GUUUCUUCUUACAAGUUGCAACUUUCAUUUUCAUAACUCAUAACUUGCACUGAUGGUGAAAGUCAUUUCAACAACAGAAAGAAGAAUUAAUUUUUUUUUUCUUGACAGUAAAUUACUUCAUGUUGGAUUAUUUCUUAUGAAACUACAUCCUCUAGCUUUCCUUACAUUUUGAUGGAGCAUCAAUUGCCUCACCCUCUCGGCAUCCUCCCAUUUAUCACCAAGGACAUACAAGUCUGAGAUAAGGGUAUAAACCCCUCCAUCAUUCUCUGGCCUCACCACAUUCAUGACCCUCUCAAUCACUCUUUCUGCCAUCUCAAACUGUUUAUGCAACUUGCAAGAGGACAAAAAAGAACCCCAAAUAACUACGUUAGGCUCUCGUGGCAUUGUAUUGAUCACUUCAUAUGCUUCCCUUAACAAUCCAGCCUUCCCAAAUAAAUCAACCAUGCAGCCAUAAUGCUGAAUUGUUGGUCUCAGUCCACACUCUUUGAUCAUUUUGAAGUAUCCCCGACCUUCAUCGACCAGACCUGUUUGUACACAAGCACUAAGUACCCCAGUGAAAGUAAACUCAUUUGGUACAACACCCCCUUGUCUCAUUUUCUUGAAUAUCUCCAACGCUUCAGUUCCGAAACCAUGUUUUGCUGCUCCACAAAUUAAAGCAGUCCAAGUUACCACAUUU
rnacentral:misc_RNA from 1 species